rnacentral:lncRNA from 1 species
GGGGCCUGGGCCAGGGGGCACUGGGGAGACAGAGCGCCUCGGUCAGACUGGGCUGCACACACAGCGGACCCGCUGGCCGUGCCCCCAGCGUCUCCCCCAUCAUAGGGCGGAUCCAGGCCACCCCAGCCUGGUGCUGUGUGGGGCUCCCCUGCUCUCUCUCCUGCAGCACUCCCGGUGCUCCUGGGCUCAGAAGUUUCUGAGAAAGCACCAUUUAGCCUCCGGCUCCGGCCUUCCCUUGAAGCGUUCAUGUGAAUAUUCUUCAGGAACGGAGACAAUUCACCUGCUCCCCCGCCACCUCGCCCUUCCACGGCACUCACCGCUCGUGGGGGCACAGGAGCGUUACUGCCCGCGCCUUCCACGGAAACUCAGCACGCAAACCCGCAACUGGCAGACGGCAGGUGACAGGGGACCUCUGACCACCACCCCUGCAGCCCCAGCGCCAGCCGGCGGGGACUCAGCCGAGAACUGCCCCUUCCUGACUGUGCGUGCCCGCUUCUAACUUAGGACCAAGCGGAGCUGCCCUGGCAUCACACGAGGCGGCGGGCUGCUCACCCCCAGGCCGACAGCCUCCUGAAAGGGCAGACUUGCAGCCUCUCCCUGCUCCCGCUGGGAGAAGCAGGCGGCGUCUCCGGCAUCUCGUGGUUUCUACCUCUUCCGUGAGGCCCACGGAGUUGUUGUUGUUGUUUUCUUUGCCUUCUCUUUUUAUGAAGAUGAAAUCCACACAACACGAAACUAUUUUAAAGUGAACGAUUCAGCGGCAUUUAUUACGUUCACAAUGUUGUACGAACACCAUCUCAGUCUAGUUUCAGAACAUUUUCAUGGCCCCCAAAGGCCCACCCAUGCUCUCCCCCCAGCCCCUGGUGCUUGGUGGGCCAAGUUUAUAUGAUGCUGACCAAAUUAUUUUUAUUUGGCUGUGCCAGAUCUCUGUUGCCACGUGCAGGAUCUAGUUCCCUGACCAGGGAUCGAACCCUGGCCCCCCUGCAUUGGGAGUGUGGCGUCUUAGCCACUGGACCACCAGGGAAGUACCCUGCUCAGAUUAUUUUUAACACUCCCCUUCUCUAUAAGACAAAAUUGUUUUCAGUAAUAAUUAUGGAAAGAUGAUUAUUUUCUAGAUUUGUUCCUUGAUUUUCAAGCCAUCAACAAUUUAGGAAAGAAUUCAUUUCUAUUUUUGAAAAUGUGAUCCCAAAUCAGUAGACUAUUUCACACGUGAACUAAAUGUUAACACUUAAUAAAAACAUCACACCUUGCA